CACGUAGGGGGCAAGCGUUGUCCGGAUUCAUUGGGCGUAAAGAGCUCGUAGGCGGUUCGAUAAGUCGGGUGUGAAACCUCCAGGCUCAACUUGGAGACGCCACCCGAUACUGUCGUGACUAGAGUCCAGUAGGGGAGCGUGGAAUUCCUGGUGUAGCGGUGAAAUGCGCAGAUAUCAGGAGGAACACCAGCGGCGAAGGCGGCGCUCUGGGCUGGAACUGACGCUGAGGAGCGAAAGCGUGGGGAGCGAACAGG
rnacentral:rRNA from 1 species